UAGGGAAUCUUCCGCAAUGGGCGAAAGCCUGACGGAGCAACGCCGCGUGAGUGAUGAAGGUCUUCGGAUCGUAAAACUCUGUUAUUAGGGAAGAACAAAUGUGUAAGUAACUAUGCACGUCUUGACGGUACCUAAUCAGAAAGCCACGGCUAACUACGUGCCAGCAGCCGCGGUAAUACGUAGGUGGCAAGCGUUAUCCGGAAUUAUUGGGCGUAAAGCGCGCGUAGGCGGUUUUUUAAGUCUGAUGUGAAAGCCCACGGCUCAACCGUGGAGGGUCAUUGGAAACUGGAAAACUUGAGUGCAGAAGAGGAAAGUUGAAUUCCAUGUGUAGCGGUGAAAUGAGCAGAGAUAUGGAGGAACACCAGUGGCGAAAGCGACUUUCUGGUCUGUAACUGACGCUGAUGUGCGAAAGCGUGGGGAUCAAACAGG
rnacentral:rRNA from 1 species